CUGUGUCCUUCGACGCCGGUUCACCGCCUGUCGGUGCCAACUGGCGUUUUGCGGGACGUCCUGUCGGUGGUGUGUCAGGAAUCUUGGUUGUGCUAUGCUCUGCUUAGUGCAGCUCUGGUUUCGGGCCACUUUCAUAAUCCCGCCGCGGUGCUCUUAAUCGAGUGUCGAGGCGGGCCGGCACGUUUACUUUGAACAAAUUAGAGUGCUUCAAGCAGGCUUGUCACGCCUGUAUACUGUGUGCAUGGAAUAAUGGAAUAGGACCUCGGUUCUAUUUUGUUGGUUUCCGGAAUCUGAGGUAAUGAUCAAUGGGGACAGGCGGGGGCAUUCGUAUUGCGACGUUAGAGGUGAAAUUCUUGGAUCGUCGCAAGACGGACCGAAGCGAAAGCAUUUGCCAAGUAUGUUCCCGUCGAUCAAGAACGAAAGUUAGAGGUUCGAAGGCGAUCAGAUACCGCCCUAGUUCUAACCAUAAACAAUGCCUGCCAGCGAUCCGCCGGCGUCCCUCCGAUGACCCGGCGGGCAGCUUCCGGGAAACCAGAGCUUUUGGGUUCCGGGGGAAGUAUGGUUGCAAAGCUGAAACUUAAAGGAAUUGACGGAAGGGCACCACCAGGAGUGGAGCCUGCGGCUUAAUUUGACUCAACACGGGAAAACUCACCAGGCCCGGACACCGGAAGGAUUGACAGAUUGAUAGCUCUUUCUUGAUUCGGUGGGUGGUGGUGCAUGGCCGUUCUUAGUUGGUGGAGCGAUUUGUCUGGUUAAUUCCGAUAACGAACGAGACUCUAGCCUACUAAAUAGACGUAUCUGGUAUCAGCAAUCGUGCUACCAGCGAUCAUAUCUCUUCUUAGAGGGACAGGCGGCUUCUAGCCGCACGAGACUGAGCAAUAACAGGUCUGUGAUGCCCUUAGAUGUCCUGGGCCGCACGCGCGCUACACUGAAGGAAUCAGCGUGUCUUCCCUGUCCGAAAGGACCGGGUAACCCGCUGAACCUCCUUCGUGCUUGGGAUUGGGGCUUGCAAUUGUUCCCCAUGAACGAGGAAUUCCCAGUAAGCGCGAGUCAUAAGCUCGCGUUGAUUACGUCCCUGCCCUUUGUACACACCGCCCGUCGCUACUACCGAUUGAAUGAUUUAGUGAGGUCUUCGGACCGGUGCGCGGAGGCGGUUUUCCGCUCCCGAUGUUGUCGGAAAGAUGACCAAACUUGAUCAUU
rnacentral:rRNA from 1 species